GCUCUUCCUCGCUAUUCUUCGCUAACAGCACACAAGUAUUGUUUCAACUUACAUAGCACUGUUGAGCUCCACUUGUGGAAACACGGCCAUCGAGAGAAACUUGUCAAAGAACUGCCUGUGAGGUUCCUGCAGCUUCUGUGGCCUCCCCUCAGGAUAUUGAUCCACCUCUGUGGCUUCCAGACCGGUUGACUGUGCCAGGACUUCCCGCAUUGACACAGAGACAGAGAGUUCCAUUCCACCCCUGCUGCUUCCUCCAUGCCCACCUCAGCCAUCAACCUCUCCACACUCUCCACCUGUAGACACCUCACCAAAUGAAGACACUGAGGACCCGGUUCCCGAUGCACCCGUGGGCUCUAAUACUGUGAUGUUUCACCUUUGGCUACUCUAUACUCAGGUAGCUAAAUACUCACGCCACUCAAGCAGCAGGAAAAACUUUCACUGCAGGGGACUCCCUUUGUAAACUUUCUGUACUUUGUAAACUUUGCAAACCCUCAAGGCAGGAGAGUGACCAGGCCCCUGCCAGAAGGAGCUCCAGCAGCCAGACCCCUCCUUCCAGAUGUUUUAUAACUGUCACAAUGGUCAUCUCCAGCCCUUCAAUGGGACCCUUCCCAGAUUAUGCUAACUUU
ensembl:processed_transcript Gm44796 predicted gene 44796